AAAUUCAUUGAUUUAGAUGAAUUUUCUUUUGAAUCAAAGUAUUUUUUCGUCAAACAGUCGACACAUCUUCAUUAGCUUCUGUUUAGUGAACGGGUCGGGCGAGAAGUUUUUCCGACAACCAGUCAGACCAUUUCAUCUCAUGCCGCGCAACAGUCAGACCGCACCGGAAUCACAAGAUCCGGCGUAGGAAAGUCUUGACAACUAGAGGCCAAACGAUAGUGGACUCCUAGGGCAACCAUUCAUCCAACUAAUCGCUUCCGAUCCGGUCCAAGGAUCCAUCUGGCGUCAAAACCCUUCAUGAAUUGUUCGAAAGGAACUGUCCGCCAACAAACAUCGUUCAAUGUGCCGGUUCAAAACUCUGGAAAAAUCGACUGUGUGAACAUGAACUUACAAAUAAAUAAAUGUUUUUAAACCAUAAGUUAUUUCUUUUUAUUUCCAAUUAGACGAAAAUUAAUAUAUAUGUAGUACUAGAAUUUUUAGAAACAAAACAUAGA